rnacentral:rRNA from 1 species
AUGAUUUUAGGUGCUUGCACUUGAAAGAUUUAACAUUGAGACGAGUGGCGAACUGGUGAGUAACACGUGGGUAACCUGCCCUUGAAGUAGGGGAUAACACUUGGAAACAGGUGCUAAUACCGUAUAACAACCAAAACCACCUGGUUUUGGUUUAAAAGACGGCUUCGGCUGUCACUUUAGGAUGGACCCGCGGCGUAUUAGCUUGUUGGUAAGGUAACGGCCUACCAAGGCGAUGAUACGUAGCCGACCUGAGAGGGUAAUCGGCCACAUUGGGACUGAGACACGGCCCAAACUCCUACGGGAGGCAGCAGUAGGGAAUCUUCCACAAUGGACGAAAGUCUGAUGGAGCAACGCCGCGUGAGUGAUGAAGGGUUUCGGCUCGUAAAACUCUGUUGUUGGAGAAGAACAGGUGUCAGAGUAACUGUUGACAUCUUGACGGUAUCCAACCAGAAAGCCACGGCUAACUACGUGCCAGCAGCCGCGGUAAUACGUAGGUGGCAAGCGUUGUCCGGAUUUAUUGGGCGUAAAGCGAGCGCAGGCGGUUUUUUAGGUCUGAUGUGAAAGCCUUCGGCUUAACCGGAGAAGUGCAUCGGAAACCGGGAGACUUGAGUGCAGAAGAGGACAGUGGAACUCCAUGUGUAGCGGUGAAAUGCGUAGAUAUAUGGAAGAACACCA